ensembl:lncRNA
AGGGGAUGCCGCCCUCCCUAGGGCUGCUCUGGGGCUGUGGGGACACGGCCAUGGGGUCGUGGCACGGUUGGGUUGGGAGGGACCGUAUGGAUCACAGAACUGUGGGAUCACGGCACGAAUUGGGUUGAAGGGACCCUACGGAUCGUAGAGUCACGGCAUGGUUGGGUUGGAGGGGUCCCUAUAGAUUGCAGAAUCACCGAAUCACGGCACGGUUUGGGUCGGAAGGGGCCCUAUAGAUCACAGAAUCACCAAAUCACUGCACGGUUUGGGUCAGAAGGGGCCCUAUAGAUCACAGAAUCACCAAAUCACUGCACAGUUUGGGUCAGAAGGGGCCCUAUAGGUCACAGAAUCACCAAAUCACUGCACAGUUUGGGUCGGAAGGGGCCCUAUAGAUCACAGAAUCACCGAAUCACAACAUGGUUUGGGUUGGGAGAGGCCCUAUAGAUCACCUCACUGCACCCCCCGCUGCUGGCAGGGCCGGCUCGCAGCACACCGGGCUGCUCAGAGCCCCAUCCCCCCUGGGGAGGGGUCACCCACAGCCCCCCCAUGCCCUGUCCCAACCUCUGCCCCCCCUCACAGUGAAGAAUUCCCUCCUAACAUCCGCUCUAGUCCUCCCCUCUCCCAGCUCAAAGCCAUUUCCCCUUAUCCUGUCGCUACCCGCCCUUGUAAGAAGUCCUUCCUAGCUUCCCCCCCCCCCCCCCCCAGGUCCUGGCAGGGCUAUAAUGGGCUGUAAUGCCCCUUCCCCAGGCUGCACAGCCCCAGCUCUCAGCUAUAAUGCCCCUUCCCCAGGCUGCACAGCCCCAGCUCUCAGCUAUAAUGCCCCUUCCCCGGGCUGCACAGCCCCAGCUCUCAGCCUGUCCCUGUUUUGGAGGUGCUCCGUCCUCUGCUCACCUCCGUGACGCACCAACAGCUCCGUGUCCUUCUGCUGCUGGGGGCUCAGACCUGGAUGCAGCGUUCCCGAUGGGGGCUCAGGAGAGCAGAGGGGCAGGACCCCCCCCCAUCCCCCCCCAUCCCCCACCCUGCUGGCUGCACUGCUCCCAAAGCAAGGCAGGAUUUGGGCAGCCCUCUUUCACCGACCCACACCCCCAUACCCUCCUCACAGCCCUGCUGAAGCCGUGCUGCUUACCACCAACCACCCCAUCCUUCUUUUCCAUGACCCCCCUGUGUGCCCCACAGUCCCGCAGGCACAGAGGGGAAACCUCUGCUGUGCAGUUCUCCCCCCCCCCCCCCCCCAUUUUUCCCCUUCCUGGGAACGGGAGCUGUGUGUCCCCUUUUCCAUCCCAUGGGAAUAUCUCCCAAUGCCACCGCCUUCCGAAUACGAUGGAGGGCAGCGUGGCAGCAUCACCCCGCAGCUCCCCCUGAACCCAUGGAGGGAUCUCGUCGGCCCCAUAGCAUCUUCAGGCCCUACAGCUGCUUUCAGACCUCAUCUUUGGGGGGCAGAUCGUCCUUCUCUCAGUUCCUUCCUUUGCUCUCUGCAGUUUGGGCGCUGCGGGCAGAGGAGGCAUUGAGCACCGCUGCUUUCUGUGUGUGCCUCAUGAUGCUGUGAGCUGUGGGUCGGGAUGGGGCCUAUAGACCACAGAAUCGCGUGGUUGGGUUGAAAGGGACCCUAUAGAUCAUAGAACCAUGGGAUCACUGAGUGGUUGGGUUGACAGGGACCCUAUAGGUCAUAGAACCAUGGGAUCACUGAGUGGUUGGGAUGGGAGGACCCUAUAGAUCAUAAAACCAUGGGAUCACUGAGUGGUUGGGUUGAAAGGGACCCUAUAGGUCAUAGAACCAUGGGAUCACUGAGUGGUUGGGACGGGAGGACCCUAUGGAUCAUAAAACCAUGGGAUCACUGAGUGGAGUGGUUGGGUUAAAAGGGACCCUAUAGAUCACAGAAUAACAUUGUUGGGUUGGAGGGGCCCUAUAGAUCACUGAACCGAGGGAUCACAACACGGGUGUGUUGGAAGGGACCCUAUAGAUGACAGAAUCACAUCCUUGGGUUGGAACGGACCGUAUAGAUCACAGAACAAUGGGAUCACAGCUAGGGUGGGUUGGAAGGGACCCUAUAGAUCACAGAAUCACAUCGUUGGGUUGAAGGGGCCCUAUAGAUCACAGAACCACGGGAUCACAGCACGGGUGGGUUGGAGGGAUCCUAUGGAUCACAGGCAACGGAUGCACAGCACGGUUGCUUUGGAGAGGCCCUAUAGACCACAGACCCAUAGAAUCGCAGCACGGGCGGCUCGGAGGGACCCUACAGUCCCCAGAACCGCGGCAUCACAGCGCCGUUGCGUUGGGAGGGACCUCAAACCCCCGCAGUCCCACCCGGCGGAGCGCUGCCCGCAGCCGCCGCUGCGCGGCUCCCGGUGGCCACGCGGUGCCGCUGCCGCUCUCUACGUGGGGCCGCCCCCCGUUUCCCCCCCCCCACCCCCCCCCUUUUCCCGAUUCGUAGCGCUGCCGUCAGCUCCGCGUCAGCGCGAGCGGAGGUUGGGAUCUCCCCGAUAACAACAGGAAAAGAAAAGCGACAAAAACUCAAAUCCCAAAAUAACCGCUUUCGGGGGACGGGAAACCGCAGAGGCGCGGAGCGCAGCGGACGGUCGCGGCUCCGGGCAACGGGCAAACAAACGGCGCGGCGACGGACGGCGGCGGGACCCGGCG